AACGAACGUUAGCGGCGCGCCUAACACAUGCAAGUCGCACGAGAAAGGGCUUCGGCUCCGGUAAAGUGGCGCACGGGUGAGUAACACGUGGGUAACCUGCCCUCGAGCGGGGGAUAACAUUCCGAAAGGAGUGCUAAUACCGCAUAAGACCACGACCUCGAAAGAGGAUGGGGGCAAAGCUGGCCUCCAUACAUAAGCUAGCACUUGAGGCUGGGCCCGCGGCGCAUCAGCUAGUUGGUGAGGUAACGGCUCACCAAGGCGAAGACGCGUAGCUGGUCUGAGAGGAUGAUCAGCCACACUGGAACUGAGACACGGUCCAGACUCCUACGGGAGGCAGCAGUGGGGAAUCUUGCGCAAUGGGCGAAAGCCUGACGCAGCGACGCCGCGUGAGUGAUGAAGGCCUUCGGGUUGUAAAGCUCUGUGGGGCGAGACGAAUAAGUGCAGCCUAAUACGUUGCAUGAUGACGGUAUCGCCUUAGCAAGCACCGGCUAACUCUGUGCCAGCAGCCGCCGUAA
rnacentral:rRNA from 1 species